rnacentral:rRNA from 1 species
UGCCAGCCGCCGCGGUAAUACGAAGGGUGCUAGCGUUGUUCGGAAUUACUGGGCGUAAAGAGCAUGUAGGCGGAUGAAUUAGUCAGAUGUGAAAGCCCCGGGCUCAACCUGGGAAUUGCAUUUGAUACUGGCAGUCUAGAGUAUGGUAGAGGGUAGUGGAAUUCCUGGUGUAGCAGUGAAAUGCGUAGAUAUCAGGAGGAACAUCAGUGGCGAAGGCGACUACCUGGACCAAUACUGACACUGAGGCGCGAAAGCGUGGGUAGCGAACGGGAUUAGAUA